GUUUUGAUUUGUGGUUGCCCUGUUUUUCAAGUGUCUUGACCCCUUCCUAUAUCUGCUUUUUUUAACUGAUAGUCAUAUAGGCUCAAACACAUUUUAGAAAAUUGUCUAGAUUUACUUACUUUGGUUCCCAAAUUUUAGGAUUUUGAUGUCCUUUUUUUAACAUCUUCAUGUUUAUCCUUUUGCUGUUCCUGUGUUUGUUGUCACUUUUACAAUAGUUUUUUAAAUUUUCUUUUAGUUCUGUACAAUGGCUUAAGUGAUUACUUUCCAAUUGUGAUUUCCUUUAUCCUAUUUUUUCUUACUUUUUUUUAAUUUAGAGCAGCCCUUUUGGUAUUUCUUUUAGAAUGGGUUUAAUAUUGCUUGUACUCUUUCAAUUUUUGUUCGUUGGAGAAAUUCUUUUUUUCUCCUUUUACUUUAAAUGAUAUUUUUGCCAGGUAGAGUAUUAUAGGCUGCAAAUUUUUCCCUUUUAUUUUAUUUAUUUAUUUUGCUUUUUAGGGCUGCACCCACGGCAUGUGGACGUUCGCAGGGUAGGGAACCCUGGAAUCAGAGCUACAGCUGCUGGCCUUUGCCACAGCCACAGCAACACGGGAUGCAAGCUGCAUCUGCGACCUACACCACAGCUCACAGCAAUGCCAUAUCCUCAACCCACUGAACGAGGCCAAGGAUCGAACCCACAACCUCAUGGUUCCCAGUCAGGCUCAUUACCACUGCAUCACAAUGGCAACUCCCGAAUUUUUCCCUUUUAGAACAUCAAAUAUAUCUUGCCACUCUCUUCUGGCCUGUAGCAUUUCUGUAGAGAAAUCAGCUGAUAGCCUUAAGGGGGUUCCCUUAUAAUUAAGUCUUUGAUUUCCUCUUUCUGCCUUUAGAAGUCUCUCUUUAACUUGCUAUUUUUAUUACAUGUCAUGGUGUGGGCUUGUUAGGGUUCAAUUGGUCUAGGGCCCUCUGUGCUUCCUGUAUCUUGAUAUGUUUCCUUUAGAUUUGGAAAGUUUUCAGCCAUAAUUUCUUCAAAUCUAUUUUCAAUCACCUUUUCUUGCUCUUUUCCUUCUGGAAACCCUAUUAUGCAUAGAUUGGCCUGCUUUAUAUUAUCCCAUUUAUUAUAUUACAUUCAUGUUUUUUCAUUUGGUUUUCUGUCUGCUGUCGUGAUUGGUUGAUUUCCAUUAUUCUAUCUUCCAAGUCACUUAUUUGUUCCUCUGCAUUAUUCAUUCUGCUCUUUAACUCAAUUUGCAUCUCUGCAAAUAAAUUUUCUACUUUUUCUUGGUUCCUCCUUGUAUGUCCUAGUUCCUUUCUAAAGGAAUCCGCAUUACUGUUCAUAUCCUCUCUUAACUCCUUCAUAUUUGCCCUUAAUUCCUUCAGUAUUUUCACUCUCUCCCUUUUGAACUCAGUGUCUGUUAGCUGCAGAGGUCUGUUGCAUUGUUUGCUCCUUCAGGUGAAUUCUGCUGUUCUUUUAACUGGGAAUGGUUCCUGAGGUUCUUCAUUUUGCUUGUAUUUUUCUCAUUCUGUGAGUUUAGGGAAACCAUCUACUGUCAUCUUGGAGGUCUGUUUUUAUGCAAGAGCACGCUCUGGAUAUUUUGUGAGGGCUUCCAAUUUAUUUUUGGUGUGACGGCUGCUUUUGGUGUGAAUGUUGCUGUCUUUCCUCAGUGUGUGCAGGCUGUUAUCCCCUUGAUAGGGUGUUUGUUGCAUGUGCUUCCAGGGAGAUGGAGGCAAUGGACAGGGCUAGUAGCCAGCACUGGUUGCUGGGCCCUCAAAGGUAGCAAGGACCCACUGGAAGGUGGUGCCAGCUGCUCCUAGUUGCAGGGCCCUGGGAAGUGGCAGUGACAGGCAGGUUUAGGUGGCGACCAGAGCAUUUGGCAGUGGUAGCAGCAGGUGUCUGUUCACGGACUCCUGGGGCCACGCCCACCUCUGGAGUCAGAGAUAACUGUGGCGGUUUGCCCCUGCCACCUGUAGGCCAUGCAAGAUGUGCCCCAUCACUUAGCCCGCACAGGAGGCACCACCCCCUGUAGCCAGAACAGGAAGAGCCAUCGCCCCUAACCCUAAGAGGCACUUCGCCACCCACAGGCCCACCCUUGCUGCCUGUGCAGAGAUAGAUAUUCCUAUGGUGGCCCGCCCCACUUCCUCUUGGCCUCCCCAGCAAUGGUGCCUUGCUUCUCCUGUGGGCCCAGACCUCAUCCCAGCUUCCCUCAACUGUGGUGCACUGAUCCCCAGCCUUUGGCGCACCUCUCCCUAGCUCCCUCAGGCUGUCUCCACACUGUCAACCCUAGGCCUCUCCUGGAACUGACCUCUGGAGCCUGAGUCUCAGCGCCUAGGUCCUGCCUGCGUCUCAGGCUGCGGUGUCCAGGGCCGGUGGUACCAAUAGUCUUUGCAGCUUUCUCUCUGCUUUGCCCUCCUCAGACCAGCUGCUGUGCUUUUCCCUUCAUCUCAACUGAUCUUCGCAUCAGUUACGUGGCUUCCCAGAGAGUGGGUUCCUUUCCUCUGUCACAGCUCCCUCUUAGCAAUGCUGGUCCCUGAUUCCUUUCUCUUUUUAUCCCCUUUUGUUCUACCCAGUAAUGGGAGGGUAUCUUGCCCUUUUUGGAGGUUUAUGGUCUUCUGCCAGGGCUCACUAGAUGUUCUGUGUUAAUCAUUCUACAUUUAGAUGGUUGGAUUUUUUGUUUUUUAAUGUGUUUGUGGGAGAAGAUGGAGCCCCAUGUCUUCCUCCUCUGCCUUCUUGGUCCAGAUCCCUCACAACUGAUUUCUGAAUGUUAAUCUUGUAUCCUGCUACUUUACGGAAUUUCUUUAUGAGAUCUAGUAGUUCCGUGUGGAAUCCCUAAGGGUUUUCUAUAUAUAGUAUGUCAUCUGCAUAUAAUGAGUUGUACCUCUUCCUUUCCAAUUUGGGUACUUUUAUUUUUCCUGAUUGCUGUGGCCAAGGACUUCUGAUACUGUGUUGAACAAAAAUGAUGAGAGUGGGCAUCCUUGUCUUGUUCCAGAUUUUAGCAGGAAGGCUUUCAGCUUUUCUCCAUUGAGGAUUAUAUUGGCUGUGGGUUUGUCAUAAAUAGCUUUUAUGUUGAGAUAUGUUCCCUCUAUACACACUUCAGUAAGAGUUUUUAAUCAUAAAUGGAUGUUGAAUUUUGUCAAAUGCUUUUUCUGCAUCUAUUGAGAAGAUCAUAUGGUUUCUGACUUUUCUUUUGUUAACAUGGUGUAUUACACUGAUUUUGUGUGUGUUGACAUCCUUCUGAACUUAGGAUGAAUCCUACUUGGUUGUGGUGUAUAUUUUUAAUGUGUUGUGCGAUUCAGUUUGCUAGAAUGUUAAGACUUUUUUGCAUCUCUAUUCAUCAUACAUAUUGGCCUAUACUUUUCUUUUUUGAUGGUAUCUUUGAUUUUGGUAUUAGUAAUGGUGGCUUCAUAGAAUGUCUUUGGACAUGUUCCCUCCUUGUCACUCUUUUAAGAGUUUGAGAAGGAUGGGUAACAAGUUCUUUGUAUGUUUGUUAGAAUUCACCUCUCAAGUCAUCUGGUCCUGGGCUUUUGUUUGUAGGGAGUUUUAUUUAUUUAUUUAUUUUGAGUCUUUUUGUCUUUUUCUAGGGCUGCACCUGCAGCAUAUGGAGGUGCCCAGGCUAGGGGUUGAAUCGGAGCUGUAGCCGCCAGCCUAUUCCACAGCCACAGCAGCGUGGAUUCCGAGCCAUGUCUGUGACCUACACCACAGCCCAUGGCAAUGCCGGAUCCCCAACCCUCUGAGCAAGGCCAUUGAACUUGCAACCUCAUGGAUCCUAGUUGGAUUUCGUUAACCACUGAGACACAAUGGGAACUCCUCUUUAUAUUUUUAAAAAGACUGGAGUUCCCUUCGUGGCGCAGUGGUUAACGAAUCCGACUAGGAACCGUGAGGCUGCGGGUUCAGUCCCUGCCCUUGCUCAGUGGGUUAACGAUCCGGCGUUGCCAUGAGCUGUGACGUAGGUCGCAGAUGCGGCUCGGAUCCCGAGUUGCUGUGGCUCUGGCGUAGGCCAGUGGUUACAGCUCUGAUUGGACCCCUAACCUGGGAACCUCCAUAUGCCACGCGAGCGGCCCAAGAAAUAGCAAAAAGACAAAAAAAAAAAAAAAAAAAAAAAAAA
rnacentral:lncRNA from 1 species